GCUAAGCUGCCCAGGAUCUUCCGGAACUUUCAAUCUUCCUGUUUCAGUCUCCCAAGUUGCUGGGAUCACAGGCAUGUGACACCACCAUACCUGGUUCUCUGUCUACAAUUCUGAACUCAGGGACAGAGAAGACCAUCUCGGCUCCCUAGGGCUCCAUAUUCUCUGAUGCCUGGCUCCCCUUUCGCAAAAUAGAGGCUCACCCAGCAAUGUUCGUAGUGGAGACACUCUUGGCUAAAGACAAGGACGAGCGGCCACGGCGGGAGCCAAGGAGGGACUGCCGGAAGCUGUCUGAGGGGUAGAUGGCAGAGGAAGGCCGCUCCCGGGUGGUUGCUGUUGGAGAGAAAUGGGUUUUCACAGACUCUACCCAUAAGUCAAGAAGGGGCAAAAGGACCCUGAAUGUCCAGUUCUGCCCAGGAAGAUGGGCGGAACCAACUGCAAGGCAAGACAGCCCUUCAUCUCCAUACUCCAUCCUGUCCACCGAGAAAAGGUCCCUCACUCUACAAAUCCACAAUACUGCCCUCCAGACUCAGAGGCCCUUCCUGCCUGGUCCAGCCCUCUACUGUCCAGCAUCCAAAGGUCAUUUCUGUCUCUUUCUCACAAACUUCAUGAAAAGUCUUUUUGGGCCUGGGGUUGUGACUCAGUGGUAAAACUUACCUAGCAUGUGUGAGACACUGGGUUCAAUCCCCAGCAUCACAUAAAAAAAACUAAA